rnacentral:rRNA from 1 species
AUUGAACGCUGGCGACAGGCCUAACACAUGCAAGUCGAACGGUAGCACAGAGAGCUUGCUCUCGGGUGACGAGUGGCGGACGGGUGAGUAAUGUCUGGGAAACUGCCCGAUGGAGGGGGAUAACUACUGGAAACGGUAGCUAAUACCGCAUAACGUCUUCGGACCAAAGUGGGGGACCUUCGGGCCUCACACCAUCGGAUGUGCCCAGGUGGGAUUAGCUAGUAGGUGGGGUAAUGGCUCACCUAGGCGACGAUCCCUAGCUGGUCUGAGAGGAUGACCAGCCACACUGGAACUGAGACACGGUCCAGACUCCUACGGGAGGCAGCAGUGGGGAAUAUUGCACAAUGGGCGCAAGCCUGAUGCAGCCAUGCCGCGUGUAUGAAGAAGGCCUUCGGGUUGUAAAGUACUUUCAGCGGGGAGGAGGGCGAUGUGGUUAAUAACCGCAUCGAUUGACGUUACCCGCAGAAGAAGCACCGGCUAACUCCGUGCCAGCAGCCGCCGUAAGAC